CUGGCGGCGUGCCUAAUACAUGCAAGUCGAACGCACUCUCGUUUAGAUUGAGGAGCUUGCUCCUGAUUGAUAAACAUUUGAGUGAGUGGCGGACGGGUGAGUAACACGUGGGUAACCUGCCCUAAAGUGGGGGAUAACAUUUGGAAACAGAUGCUAAUACCGCAUAAAACCUAACACCGCAUGGUGUAGGGUUGAAAGAUGGUUUCGGCUAUCACUUUAGGAUGGACCCGCGGUGCAUUAGUUAGUUGGUGAGGUAAAGGCUCACCAAGACCGUGAUGCAUAGCCGACCUGAGAGGGUAAUCGGCCACACUGGGACUGAGGCACGGCCCAGACUCCUACGGGAGGCAGCAGUAGGGAAUCUUCCACAAUGGACGAAAGUCUGAUGGAGCAACGCCGCGUGAGUGAAGAAGGUUUUCGGAUCGUAAAACUCUGUUGUUGGAGAAGAAUGUAUCUGAUAGUAACUGAUCAGGUAGUGACGGUAUCCAACCAGAAAGCCACGGCUAACUACGUG
rnacentral:rRNA from 1 species